rnacentral:rRNA from 1 species
GACGAACCGUGCAAACGUUAUUCGGAAUCACUGGGCAUAAAGGGCGCGUAGGCGGCUUCAUAAGUCAGGGGUGAAAUCCGGCAGCUUAACUGUCGCAGUGCCUUUGAUACUGUGGAGCUCGAGGGAGGUAGGGGUCUGUGGAACUUCCGGUGGAACGGUGAAAUGCGUUGAUAUCGGAAGGAACGCCGGUGGCGAAAGCGACUUACUGGACACAUAUUGACGCUGAGGUGCGAAAGCGUGGGGAGCAAACAGG